rnacentral:rRNA from 1 species
UACGUAAGGACCGAGCGUUGUCCGGAAUUAUUGGGCGUAAAGGGAGCGCAGGCGGUUGGAAUAGUCUGAUGUGAAAGCCCCCGGCUCAACCGGGGAGGGUCAUUGGAAACUGGGAGACUUGAGUGCAGAAGAGGAGAGUGGAAUUCCAUGUGUAGCGGUGAAAUGCGUAGAUAUAUGGAGGAACACCAGUGGCGAAGGCGACUUACUGGUCUGUGAUUGACGCUGAGGCUCGAAAGCGUGGGUAGCGAACAGG